GUCAACGGCCAUACACGUGAAAACACCGGUUCUCGUCCGAUCACCGAAGUUAAGCAGCGUCGGGCGUAGUUAGUAUUAGAUGGGAGACCGCUUGGACACUGCGUGCUGUUGACU
rnacentral:rRNA from 1 species